GAUUUGGAUGGAAUUCGUCAGCAAACAACUGGGACAUUCUUUAGCAACAGCCAGUUCAUACACAACUGGAGAGGAAGACGCAGGGAUUUAUUCAACCAUCGACUCCUUGAAACCCCC